rnacentral:rRNA from 1 species
GCAGCAGCCACGGGAAUACAGAGGGUGCGAGCGUUAAUCGGAUUUACUGGGCGUAAAGCGUGCGUAGGCGGCUUCUUAAGUCGGAUGUGAAAUCCCUGAGCUUAACUUAGGAAUUGCAUUCGAUACUGGGAAGCUAGAGUAUGGGAGAGGAUGGUAGAAUUCCAGGUGUAGCGGUGAAAUGCGUAGAGAUCUGGAGGAAUACCGAUGGCGAAGGCAGCCAUCUGGCCUAAUACUGACGCUGAGGUACGAAAGCAUGGGGAGCAAACAGGAUUAGAUACCCCCGUAGUCCCUGUCUCUUAUAC